UGGGGAAUAUUGCGCAAUGGGCGAAAGCCUGACGCAGCGACGCCGCGUGAGGGAUGAAGGCCUUCGGGUUGUAAACCUCUUUCAGCAGGGAAGAAGCGCAAGUGACGGUACCUGCAGAAGAAGCACCGGCUAACUACGUGCCAGCAGCCGCGGUAAUACGUAGGGUGCGAGCGUUGUCCGGAAUUAUUGGGCGUAAAGAGCUCGUAGGCGGUCUGUCGCGUCUGCUGUGAAAUCCCGGGGCUCAACUCCGGGCUUGCAGUGGAUACGGGCAGACUAGAGUUCGGUAGGGGAGACUGGAAUUCCUGGUGUAGCGGUGAAAUGCGCAGAUAUCAGGAGGAACACCGGGUGGCGAAGGCGGGUCUCGUGGGCCGAUACUGACGCUGAGGAGCGAAAGCGUGGGGAGCGAACAGGAUUAGAUACCUGGUAGUCCACGCCGUAAACGUUGGGCGCUAGGUGUGGGGAACCUUCCACGUUCUCCGUGCCGC
rnacentral:rRNA from 1 species